rnacentral:lncRNA from 1 species
AGUCUCCCACCAGCAGCCACUGGAUGAAGAUGUAGAACUCUCAGCUCUGCCUGCACCAUGCCUGCCUGGAUACUGCCAUGCUCCCACCAUGAUGAUAAUGGACUGAACCUCUGAACCUGUCCCGGAAGUAGAAGGAGGACCAUGAGAGAGGAAACAGAGGUCUUAAGAGAGUGGUCAUUUCACGAACUGCAGAAACAAACCUCUGACUUCUCAGCCCUGUGAGCAUCCCAAGCAUUCAGGUGGAUAUGGAGUUCAGCUCACCCUUUCAUUGGCCUAGUCUGAGUGCAGUAAGGCAAUGCAUGAAGGCCCACAUCCAGAGGACAAAACCCUCGAUGGAGAUAUGGCUGCAAACACUAGGGUAUCCUUCUGAUAACCCAGGCAAUUAGGACUGGGGACCUAAGGACAAAGUGUGGAUGAAGAUGUGAUCAGCCCUACCACCAUGCUCUCCCAGCUUGCUGCCAUGCCUUCUCCACUGAUGUGGACUCUACUGGAACCCUAAGCCAAAAUAAAGGUUUUUCUUCCUUA